rnacentral:rRNA from 1 species
AUUGAACGCUGGCGGCAGGCCUAACACAUGCAAGUCGAACGAGCGGCGGACGGGUGAGUAAUGUCUGGGAAACUGCCUGAUGGAGGGGGAUAACUACUGGAACCGGUAGCUAAUACCGCAUACCAUCGGAUGUGCCCAGAUGGGAUUAGCUAGUGGGUGGGGGAAAGGCUCACAUAGGCGACGAGCCCUAGCUGGUCUGAGAGGAUGACCAGCCACAUGGGAACUGAGACACGGUCCAGACUCCGACGGGAGGCAGCAGUGGGGAAUAUUGCACAAUGGGCGCAAUCCUGAUGCAGCCAUGCCGCGUGUAUGAAGAAGGCCUUCGGGUUGUAAAGUACUUUCAGCGGGGAGGCGUUACCCGCAGAAGAAGCACCGGCUAACUCCGUGCCAGCAGCCGCGGUAAUAC